AUCAGGGUCCACGGAGGAUGCCUGGGAGCCGCCAGACGAAGAAGGACGCGGUCAGCUGCGAAAAGCCGGGGGGAGGAGCCGACAUCCGACGAUCCCCGGGUGUCCGAAUGGGGUAACCCGAAUGUCUGGAUGACAUUCGCCUAUGCGUGAACACAUAGCGACAUAGGUGGAAUACGCCGGGAAGUGAACCAUCUAAGUACCGGCAGGAAGAGAAAUCAAAACGAGAUUCCCCAAGUAGCGGCGAGCGAACGGGGAGGAGCCCAAACCCGCGGCGUGCCAAGGACAGGUCCGUUGCGUCGCGGGGGUAGCGGGAGCCGUCGGUGCAGCGCCUGUGCUGCACGUCGAGUGAGAAACCACGACUCUAGGCGAACGGUCUGGGAAGGCCGGCCAGAGGGGGUGAAAGCCCCGUAGCCGAAAGCGUCGUGGCUCGAUGGACGGAGAUCCCAAGUACGUCGGGACACGAGGAAUCCUGACGGAAGCAGGGGGGACCACCCUCCAAGGCUAAAUACGUGGCGGCUACCGAUAGCGCAUAGUACCGUGAGGGAAAGGUGAAAAGGACCCCGGGAGGGGAGUGAAAGAGAACCUGAAACCGUGGACCUGCAAGCGGUCAGAGCCCGAGAGGGUGAUGGCGUGCCUUUUGUAGAAUGAGCCUGCGAGUCUUCGUAUGCAGCGAGGUUAAGGCAUAGGAGUGCCGGAGCCGAAGGGAAACCGAGUCCGAAAUGGGCGUACAGUUGCAUGCGGAGGACCCGAAGCCAAGUGAUCUAUCCAUGGCCAGGCUGAAGCUGGAGUAGAAUCCAGUGGAGGGCCGAACCUAAAUCCGCUGAAAAGGGUUGGGAUGAGCUGUGGAUCGGAGCGAAAGACUAAACAAACUUGGAGAUAGCUGGUACUCCCCGAAAUAGCUUUAGGGCUAGCCUUGCGUGGACAGUCAUGGAGGUAGAGCACUGAAUGGAUGAGGGCCCUUCACCGGGUACCGAUUUCAAUCAAACUCCGAAUGCCAUGACCCAAUGCGCAGGAGUCAGACGGCGACUGAUAAGGGCCGUCGUCGAAAGGGAAACAGCCCAGACCGCCGGCCAAGGUCCCCAAUGUGUGCCAAGUGGGAAAGGAAGUCCGAUUGCGAAGACAGCCAGGAGGUUGGCUCAGAAGCAGCCACACCUUCAAAGAGUGCGUAACAGCUCACUGGUCGAGUAGCCGGGCGCCGACAAUUCAACGGGGCUAAGCACACAACCGAAGCCGCGGCUCAGUACUUUGUACUGGGGGUAGGGGAGCAUUCCAUGUACGGACGAAGGUGCGCCGCAAGGCGAGCUGGACGGGAUGGAAGAGAGAAUGCAGGCAUGAGUAACGAAAAGAUGGGUGGGAUCCCCAUCCGCCGAAAGCCUAAGGUUUCCAGGGUAAAGGUAAUCUACCCAAGGGUUAGUCGGCCCCUAAGGCGAGGACGAAGGUCGUAGCCGAUGGGAAACGGGUCAACAUUCCCGUACCUCUCAACGAAUCGAUGGGACGAAGCAUAGGGCGAAGCGCAGCGGGGCGACGGUUGUCCCCGUCCAAGCGUCCGAGCGGAGGAGGCCUCCAGGCAAAUCCGGAGGCUGACGCGAGGCGCGAACGCGAGCGGACCUACGGGCGAGCGAAGUGCGUGACGUCGUCGUGCCGGGAAACAGUCUCUAAGGUGCGUCGUUGAGGGACCGUACUACAAACCGACACAGGUGGGCGAGCUGAGAAUGCGAAGGCGUACGGAAGAACUUGCGUUAAGGAACUCGGCAAAAUGCAUACGUAACUUCGGGAUAAGUAUGGCCGCGAGAGCGGCUGCAGAGAAACGGCCCAUGCGACUGUUUACCAAAAACACAGGUCUAUGCGAACCAGCAAUGGGAAGUAUAUGGACUGACACCUGCCCGGUGCUGGAAGGUUAAGGGGAGUCGUCAGCGCAAGCGAAGCGGCGAACCGAAGCCCCAGUAAACGGCGGCCGUAACUAUAACGGUCCUAAGGUAGCGAAAUUCCUUGUCGGGUAAGUUCCGACCCGCACGAAUGGUGUAACGAUCUGGACACUGUCUCAACUACCCACCCGGCGAAAUUGUAGUACCGGUGAAGAUGCCGGUUACCCGCGGCAAGACGGAAAGACCCCAUGGAGCUUUACUGUAGCCUGAUAUUGGGUCUCGGUAUUUUAUGUACAGGAUAGGCGGGAGACAAGGAAACCAGCACGCCAGUGUUGGCGGAGUCACCCUUGGGAUACCGCUCUUAAGAUAUUGAGAUUCUAACCUGCGGCCAUGAAUCUGGUCGGGGGACAUUGUCAGGUGGGCAGUUUGACUGGGGCGGUCGCCUCCUAAAAGGUAACGGAGGCGCUCAAAGGUUGGCUCAGCACGGACGGAAAUCGUGCAAUGAGUGUAAACGUAUAAGCCAGCCUAACUGCGAGACCGACGGGUCGAGCAGUAACGAAAGUUGGAGUUAGUGAUCCGGUGGUAUGUGAGUGGAAAUGCCAUCGCUCAACGGAUAAAAGCUACCCUGGGGAUAACAGGCUGAUCUCCCCCAAGCGUCCACAGCGACGGGGAGGUUUGGCACCUCGAUGUCGGCUCGUCGCAUCCUGGGGCUGUAUUCGGUCCCAAGGGUUUGGCUGUUCGCCAAUUAAAGCGGUACGCGAGCUGGGUUCAGAACGUCGUGAGACAGUUCGGUCCCUAUCUGCCACAGGCGUUGGAUGUUUGAGAGGCCCUGCUUCUAGUACGAGAGGACCGAAGUGGACGAACCUCUGGUGUAUCUGUUGUCGUGCCAACGGCAGGUGCAGAGUAGCUACGUUCGGAAGGGAUAAGCGCUGAAGGCAUCUAAGUGCGAAGCCCCCCUCAAGAUCGAACAUCCCUGGCCAUGAGCCAAUAAGGAACCAGACAGACUAUCUGGUCGAUAGGCCGCGGAUGCAGGCGCAGCGAUGCGCACAGUCCAGCGGUACUAAUCAUCCGAACGGCUUGACC
rnacentral:rRNA from 1 species